rnacentral:rRNA from 1 species
UACGGAGGAUGCAAGCGUUAUCCGGAAUGAUUGGGCGUAAAGCGUCCGCAGGUGGCUAUGUAAGUCUGCUGUUAAAAGAGUCUGGCUCAACCAGAUAAAGGCAGUGGAAACUACAUGGCUAGAGUGCGUUCGGGGCAGAGGGAAUUCCUGGUGUAGCGGUGAAAUGCGUAGAGAUCAGGAAGAACACCGGUGGCGAAAAGCGCUCUGCUAGGCCGCAACUGACACUGAGGGACGAAAAGCUAGGGGAGCGAAUGGG